rnacentral:lncRNA from 1 species
UGGGGGAUCGAUCGAGCAAGGCAGGAGGAGGGGGAAACCCUAAACUCAAGAAAUCAAGCAAUUGAAGCCUAAAAUCAUAAGAAAAUCCAGUGCAUGAGCCCUCUUAUCGAUCAUCUAAGCAUACCUAGUGAAGUGCUUGAAAGAAUAAGAACCAUGUCAAGAUGGACCAACUCAUGGGAAGCAAAUGGGUCAAAGAGGAGGCAAAGAAACUAGCAUAAACAUGGCGAGCACAAGGUAAGUGAUUUCUAUAAUCACUUAUUUAGUUGUUUAAGUAAUAUAAUGUUUUAAUUAUUAAGUUCAUAUGAAGUUGAGGUCAAAUCGAUAGAUUAUUUUGAUAAAUGCACGAAUGGAUCGAAUAAUUCAUAGAUGAAUAACAAGCCGAAUACGUAUAAGUUAAGAAAUUCCUUAACUCGGAUGUUGGAUUUCAAGUUCACAUGAUAGAAGGUUAAUUUACAAUCAUGUAGGAAGAAAUGGGAGGU